rnacentral:misc_RNA from 1 species
GAUGAAGAACGCAGUGAAAUGCGAUAAGUAAUGUGAAUUGCAGAAUUCAGUGAAUCAUCGAAUCUUUGAACGCACCUUGCGCCUUUUGGUAUUCCGAAAGGCAUGCCUGUUUGAGUGUCAUGAAAUCUCAAUCCUCCUAGGUUUUUGACCUGGUUGGACUUGGACAUGGGCGUCUGCCAGCAAUGGCUCGCCUUAAAUGACUUAGUGGAACAUCCCACAUCAGUGUUAGACGUAAUAAGUUUCGUCUCUCCUUGUGGUGAUGACUGCUCAUAAUCUGCCAUCGCGCACUUUUGACUUUGACCUCAAAUCAGGUAGGGCUACCCGCUGAACUUAAGCAUAUCAAUAAGCGGAGGA